GCUCCGUAGGUGAACCUGCGGAGGGAUCAUUACAGAGUUCAUGCCCUACCGGGUAGAUCUCCCACCCUAUGUUAUUAUUACUUUGUUGCUUUGGCGGGCCGUUAGGCUCCGGCCCGACUACCGGCCCCGGCUGGUAAGCGCCCGCCAGAGGACCCAAAACCCUGAAUAUUAGUGUCGUCUGAGUACUAUAUAAUAGUUAAAACUUUCAACAACGGAUCUCUUGGCUCUC
rnacentral:misc_RNA from 1 species